GACGUAGGGGGCCAGCGUUGCUCGGAAUUACUGGGCGUAAAGGGUUCGUAGGCGGUGCGGCAAGUCGGAAGUGAAAUCUCUGGGCUUAACUCAGAGGCUGCUCCCGAAACUGCUGUGCUAGAGUGUGAGAGAGGCGAGUGGAAUUACGGGUGUAGCGGUGAAAUGCGUAGAUAUCCGUAGGAACAUCCGAGGCGAAGGCGGCUCGCUGGAUCACAACUGACGCUGAGGGACGAAAGCUAGGGGAGCAAACAGG
rnacentral:rRNA from 1 species